UGUGGGAGCGAGCUUGCUCGCGAUAGCGGUGUGUCAGUGACAUUCAUGUAGCUGACCCUCCGCUAUCGCGAGCAAGCUCGCUCCCACA
rnacentral:misc_RNA from 1 species